ACCUGGCUGGCUCAGUCGGUGGAGCAUGCGACUCUUGAUCUCAGGGUCCUGAGUUUGAGUCUCAUGUUGGGUG
rnacentral:tRNA from 1 species